CUUGGGGGACCGCGGGGAGCUGGCGAACCCCGGAUCCUCAGUUGAGGUGGGUGAGCAAGCGGGGCGUGUGGUGUGUGGCGGGAAGGCUCUCUGUGGGCUGCCAGGACAUUGCUUUGUUCUGUCCGGCGGAAACGGAGCAGCGCGCAAGUUGGGGACCAAACUUGAGCGCGCGUGUCAGCCUUCCCGGGGGGGAGGCGGGGCGGCAGGAGAGUCAAGGAAGGGAGAGAGGGUUGGAUCCUGAUGGGUUUAGAAUCAAAUGGAGGAGGAGGGCAAGAGGGAGAUGGAGCGAGAAAGAGAGAUCGAGGGAGAGAGGAAAAGUCACAGAGAUACAGAGAACAUACAAAGAAAGAAAAGCGCACAAAGGAACGCCCACACAGAGGAAUCGCAGAAGGCGGCUGAGGGAAAGUUCAA
rnacentral:lncRNA from 1 species